rnacentral:rRNA from 1 species
GACGUAGGGUGCGAGCGUUGUCCGGAUUUAUUGGGCGUAAAGAGCUCGUAGGCGGCUCGUCGCGUCGACCGUGAAAACCCGCGGCUUAACUGCGGGCUUGCGGUUGAUACGGGCGGGCUAGAGUUCGGUAGGGGAGACUGGAAUUCCUGGUGUAGCGGUGAAAUGCGCAGAUAUCAGGAGGAACACCGAUGGCGAAGGCAGCUUGCUGGGACGGUACUGACACUGAGACGCGAAAGCGUGGGGAGCGAACAGG